UGGUGGAGUGAUUUGUCUGGUUAAUUCCGUUAACGAAUGAGACCUUAACCUGCUAAAUAGUUACAUGUAAUUUCGGUUAUAUGGGCAACUUCUUAGAGGGACUUUGUGUGUCUAACACAAGGAAGUUUGAGGCAAUAACA
rnacentral:rRNA from 1 species